rnacentral:tRNA from 2 species
GGCGAUGUAGCUCAGUCGGUCAGAGCAUGCGGCUCAUAUCCGCAGCGUCCGGGGUUCGAAUCCCUGCAUCGCCACCA